rnacentral:tRNA from 1 species
GGAGAGGUGGCCGAGUGGUUGAAGGCGCUCGCCUGCUAAGCGAGUAUGGGGGUAAUACCUCCAUCGGGAGUUCGAAUCUCCUCCUCUCCG